GAUGAAGAACGCAGCGAAAUGCGAUAAGUAAUGUGAAUUGCAGAAUUCAGUGAAUCAUCGAAUCUUUGAACGCACCUUGCGCUCCUUGGUAUUCCGAGGAGCAUGCCUGUUUGAGUGUCAUUAAAUUCUCAACUACACUGACUUUGAAUUGGUGUGGCUUGGAUUUGGGGGGAAAAUUGUUGUGGGCUUUUUGUAUAGUCUGCUCCCCUGAAAUUGAUUAGCGGUACCUUUGUGGAACUGUCUACAGGUGUGAUAAUUAUCUACAUCUUAGACAUCUGCUGGAAUGCUGCUUUCUAAACCUUACUUGUAUUGACAAUCUUGACCUCAAAUCAGGUAGGACUACCCGCUGAACUUAAGCAUAUCAAUAAGCGGAGGA
rnacentral:misc_RNA from 1 species